UAAAAAAAAUACAGAACUUGAGGGUUUAAGUUUUAAUUAUUCAUGAUCAUGACAUUGGAAUAAUAAUGCUUUAGUUGUUCGCGACAUUUCGUUUAUUUCGGCGAUGAAAUUAUGUACCUCUCACAUUUCAAUCACAGGAAUUCUUUAGCAAUGAAUGAUGAAAAACCUGAUUCAGCUGCUUCCAAAGAUGCAAAAUAGGAGAAAUUUUUGAUUUCCAUUCUUCCAUAUUGGUUUUGUUCAGGAUGUUUUGAUACUUCAAGACUAAAAUUAUAUGGCCAAUCGUUCGACUACGGUUUGGAGACGAGAUAUGUAUUGAUCAACAGCUGAGCUAUCAGACCAUGUGACGGAAUUUUCAGACUUGACUAAUUUCGACAGAUCCAUCGCUGAUGACAACAUCAUCGGACGCUGAGAAGGUAUCAUUCGAUCACCGAUUGUGUUAUGGAAAUUGGCAACCUGGAAAAUUUGAAACUUGGGUUGAAAAAACAAGCAUCUUUUGAAAUAAAAAGGACGAUCUGUUGCGGAUUCAGCUCAUUAGCCAGCUCACCUUUUGCUCAAUAAGGAUUUCAGAUCCAGUGAAAUCAAUGCAUAAAAGGAGCGCUUUUCUAUCGUUGAGAAAAUUAUCGACGAUCUCAUUUUUAUAGACUUUUUCUGAAUUUUCGACCGAUUUGCCGAAAUAAUUUUCUGUGUAAAAUAAAAUUUAUUUAGUUUUACAUAAAUAAUUAUGUAGUAA